UACGAAGGGGGCUAGCGUUUGUUCGGAAUUACUGGGCGUAAAGCGCACGUAGGCGGCUUUGUAAGUUAGAGGUGAAAGCCCGGGGCUCAACUCCGGAAUUGCCUUUAAGACUGCAUCGCUUGAAUCCGGGAGAGGUGAGUGGAAUUCCGAGUGUAGAGGUGAAAUUCGUAGAUAUUCGGAAGAACACCAGUGGCGAAGGCGG
rnacentral:rRNA from 1 species